CACGUAUUUAGCCGUCACUUCUUCUGUUGGUACCGUCAUUUUUUUCUUCCCAACUGAAAGCACUUUACAUUCCGAAAAACGUCAUCGUGCACACAGAAUUGCUGGAUCAGACUUUUGGUCCAUUGUCCAAUAUUCCCCACUGCUGCCUCCCGUAGGAGUAAGGGCCGUGUCUCAGUCCCCUUGUGGCCGUUCACCCUCUCAGGCCGGCUACCCAUCAUCGCCUUGGUGAGCCGUUACCUCUCCAACUAGCUAAUGGGACGCAAAGCUCUCUCACAGCGCAUAUAGCUUUCAUAAUCUUAGGAUGCCCUAAAAUCAUAAUAUCAGGUAUUAGCAUUCGUUUCCAAAUGUUGUCCCUAACUGUGAGGCAAGUUCUUUACGCGUUACUCACCCGUCCGCCACCCAAACCGAAGUUCAAGUAGACUUGCAUGUGUUAAGCAUUCUGUCAGCGUUCAUCCUGAGCCAGGAUCAAACUCU
rnacentral:rRNA from 1 species